CCUANGGGUGGCUGCAGUCGAGAAUUUUUCACAAUGGGGGAAACCCUGAUGGAGCGACGCCGCGUGGGGGAUGAAUGGCUUCGGCCCGUAAACCCCUGUCAUUUGCGAUCAACCGUUAUUAUUUAAAAGAUGAUGACCUGAUAGUAGCGAAAGAGGAAGGGACGGCUAACUCUGUGCCAGCAGCCGCGGUAAUACAGAGGUCCCGAGCGUUGUUCGGAUUCACUGGGCGUAAAGGGUGCGUAGGUGGUGAGGUGUGUCGGAUGUGAAAUCUCGGAGCUUAACUCCGAAACUGCAUUGGAAACUACCUUGCUUGAGGGUUGGAGGGGGGACUGGAAUACUUGGUGUAGCAGUGAAAUGCGUAGAUAUCAAGUGGAACACCAGUGGCGAAGGCGAGUCCCUGGACAACUCCUGACACUGAGGCACGAAAGCUAGGGGAGCAAACAGGAUUAGAUACCCCGNUANUC
rnacentral:rRNA from 1 species